CGCAAAUUCGUCUUAACGCGUCGC
rnacentral:siRNA from 1 species